GAUGAACGCUGACAGAAUGCUUAACACAUCAGCAAUUGAUUGGUGGCUGACGGGUGCGUAACGCGUAAAGAACUUGCCUCACAGCUAGGGACAACAUUUGGAAACGAAUGCUAAUACCUAAUACUGUGUGAGAGGUUUGGGUCCCUUUAUCUAGUUGGAGAGGUAACGGCUCACCAAGUCGAUGAUGGGUAGCCGGCCUGAGAGGGUGAUCGGCCACGAGGGGACUGAGACACGGCAGUUAGGCAUACGGGAGGCAGGAGUGGGGAAUGUUGGAGAAUGGACGAAAGUCUGAUCCGGCAAUUCUGUGUGAACGAUGAAGUUUUCGGAAGGUAGAGUGCUUUCAGUUGGGAAGCGGUACCAACAGAAGAAGGGACGGCUAAAUACGUGCCAGCAGCCGCGGUAAUUC
rnacentral:rRNA from 1 species